UACGUAGGGCGCAAGCGUUGUCCGGAAUUAUUGGGCGUAAAGAGCUCGUAGGCGGUUUGUCGCGUCUGCCGUGAAAGUCCGGGGCUCAACUCCGGAUCUGCGGUGGGUACGGGCAGACUAGAGUGAUGUAGGGGGAGACUGGAAUUCCUGGUGUAGCGGUGAAAUGCGCAGAUAUCAGGAGGAACACCGAUGGCGAAGGCAGGUCUCUGGGCAUUAACUGACGCUGAGGAGCGAAAGCAUGGGGGAGCGAACAGG
rnacentral:rRNA from 1 species